CUUAAAGUGGGUCUAGCAAGGGAUAGUGACAUGCCUUUGCAAUUGCAAAAAAUUACUGAUGUAAAUGUAAUUGAAGGAAAAUAUAGGGAUGGUAGGCAGCUGUGAGUUAAAGUAAUUCACAUUGAACUGUUGAAAAGUAGUACUGGAUUGCCCUAUUAAAAUGUGCCUGUUCUACUCUAAGUAACAUUUCUUUGACCUAAUAUGCAUUGAGAAAGUGGUCAUUCUUUUCCUCAUUUUUAUUCUACUAGCACUUAUGUUUUUAAUAGUAACUAUUUUGGUCUCUAUUCAGUUGUGGUUGUACAACUACUUGCCUUUUCAUAUUGUAAUUUAGAUCUUUUAUUAAGGGAAAGCAAAUCGAGAAAGAAGCCUCAUGGAAGGGAUGAAAUUGACAUGAUAUUUCAAAUUCACUGUAUGGAAAAAGAGGCUUACGGUUCUGUUUUGAGAGCUUUCUUUGCUCAAUCUGACCGUCUUUCAUGGGGUAAGGAGAGGCUCAUUACAGAGCUGCGGCAAGAGCUUAAUGUUACUGAUGUAGAACAUGGGGAGCUGCUUUGGAAAAUUAUUUCUGAUGAGUCAUUUAAAAUGAUAAGGGAAUGGCGAAAAAGUGCCCCUUAUGUUCAAGAUUCACUUGCUGGUGAAUUGAACGCUUCCAGAUCUGCUCCUAGUCCAAUGGGCCAUGCCUCAGAGAAAAAAAGGAAGACUUCUCAUGCUUCUGAUUCAAUAUUCCAUAAGCAGGAGCCUCAUGGUCAGGCUUCUUUAGGAUUUCUUCCUUUUCCAACUCCAGCACCAUCAGAUGACAAAGGAAGGGGAAUAGUGAAAUCUAAAACAAAGAUAGGUUAUCAUGGGCCAUACUUUGAGCAUUUAAAGGAGGGAGCUGAUGUUAUUCAGAUCCGUGAAACAAAAAGGCUUCUUCAUGAGAGCAAUAAAAGGAUGUGGCUUACUUUCUCCAAUUAUUUCACGCCAACAUUAUUAUUCCAAGUCUUAAAUGUGGUUUCAGCACUGCUGCAAUAUCCUAUGGUGCCACCAACUUUGCUUUCAAUACACGCAACAGUGACUUCCAUUGGAUGUUUUGAAUUGCACAACUCUUUUUUGGAGACCUGUAUUUAUUGGAGGAAAAGAAAGGAGCAGAGAUGAAAAAACCAUGAAAUGCUACAGUUUAAACCUUUUGCUAUAGCUGAGGAGGCUUGUUUUCUGUUUAUAUAUUUUUGGAGCUGGAUAUGGGGCAGGGAGGAGGAGUUUAAAUUUUAAGCUUCAGAAACUGUUAAUUAUCAUUUGGUGGAGGUUUGAAAAGGUUUGUGAUAACAAGACGUCUUGGUAUACUUAAUUGGUGAUGAUGAGAUCAAUGAUGAGAGUUUAGUAUUUCAUGGCAUAAUUGGGGAUUCUUAUAUUUGUUUUCAAUGUCAGGUGGACCUUAAACUUUUUAGGCAAUUAUCUGAGAACAGGGUUUCAAGGAGGCUGAAUUUUGAAGUCAAUAGUAUUGCUUUGCUUUUGUUACUUCCAUUAAAAUUGUUAUUCUUUUCAUUUGGAUUUCUUGCAGGUCCAUUGACUGGUGAUUUUGCUGACCAUUAUUGAAAAGAUGAUCUAUGGAAGAAAAGGCACUGACCAAGUACAAGUUGAGAUGGCGAAACUAAUCCUAAGUGAUCAUGAAAGAUCUCUCCUCUUGGCACUUGCUAAACUUUCUCAUGUGUCAAAUGAUGAUGAUUCCCGUGGAGAGGUUCGUGAAAAUAAACGACAAAUAGUGACACAUAGCAGGUUCCAUCUGCAGGCUGGCGGGUUAGAUAGCUAUCCUCCUGAGAGUUAUCCCCCAAAGAAAAGCUGUACUCUGAAGAGUUAUGAUCCAACCCAUCCAGUCAAGCUGAAAGUCCCCCGCCCAUGAUGCUCUGUAUA